rfam:Schistosoma rodhaini strain Burundi genome assembly, scaffold: SROB_scaffold0007410
AUCCAGCUGACUCGUCCCAAAUAGGGGGAAACGUGCGUCCUGGAU